rnacentral:rRNA from 1 species
UACGUAGGGGGCUAGCGUUGUCCGGAAUCAUUGGGCGUAAAGCGCGUGUAGGCGGUUCGGUAAGUCCGCUGUGAAAGUCGGGGGCUCAACCCUCGGAUGCCGGUGGAUACUGUCGGACUAGAGUACGGAAGAGGCGAGUGGAAUUCCUGGUGUAGCGGUGAAAUGCGCAGAUAUCAGGAAGAACACCCGUGGCGAAGGCGGCUCUCUGGGACGGUACUGACGCUGAGACGCGAAAGCGUGGGGAGCGAGCAGG